GUGAAUCAUCAAAUCUUUGAACGCAAAUUGCACUCUCUGGUAUUCCGGAGAGUAUGUCUGUUUGAGGGUCAGUUAAAUAAAAAUCGGUGUUGUUGCUGCCUUUCGUGGUGACGCGUUGGAAUUGAGUCGUCUUUACUUUGCUUAAAAGAGAUUGAAUAUUGUUUGUAUUUUGUCUGUACU
rnacentral:misc_RNA from 1 species